GUAUUUUCACAUAUAUCAGAUAAAAUUCAAAUGAGAAGUUUAGCUUGGCCCCCGUGAAACGAUGGCACGCACAAAUUGAGAAAAGAUCAAAAUUUCU
rnacentral:snRNA from 1 species